rnacentral:rRNA from 1 species
UACGAAGGGGGCUAGCGUUGCUCGGAAUCACUGGGCGUAAAGGGUGCGUAGGCGGGUCUUUAAGUCAGGGGUGAAAUCCUGGAGCUCAACUCCAGAACUGCCUUUGAUACUGGGAGGCUCGAGUCCGGAAGAGGUGAGUGGAACUGCGAGUGUAGAGGUGAAAUUCGUAGAUAUUCGCAAGAACACCAGUGGCGAAGGCGGCUCACUGGUCCGGUACUGACGCUGAGGUGCGAAAGCGUGGGGAGCAAACAGG